AUUAUAAAAGAUUUUCAAGUAACGAUAAAAUUAUCUUAAUCAAUAAUAAAGUCGUUCAAAUUGUGGAAUCAUCUAUUGAUGCUUACGGCAUAAUAAGCUGCCUACAUCGCUCAUCUUACAAUUUUUUCUUGAACCCUACGUGAAUAUAAAAUACUUUGUAUACGGAGACACAUAAAAAAAAGAGGUAGUUAAAAAAUGAUAGUUAAUUAUCUGUAGGAUUUGAGAAUGGCACCACAGAAACUACAGACAAUAGCCUUCCAAGACUUGAAGUAAAAAGGGAUAUAACAAAAUCUGGUGGCAGUGCGCAUAUCAGCCACUUUAGCACCAUGGCCGCACCUCGAACACGAGCCAGCCACCGGUUUACUCCGCCUCAUCAUCCUCUUCUGGUCUACUAGAAAGCAAAAACAUACCAUUAUUUACGAUCGCCGGCUGCUAGUCAAAGGCCAGCUUCAAUUCUCUCCCGACAAUCAAGUUGCACUUCCUUCUGACAAGUGGUUGAGAGUUAGCAAACAACCUUGGCGUAGUUAAAGGCCAGUUUCGAUUCUGCGUAAAGAUCCGUCAGUUCCUAUUCUAGUUCCCGUUCAACAUUCUAUCACCGUACUUCAACCAAAUGCUUUAUAUACAAAAUAUCAAAUUGAAGAGAGAAAUAUUCAGAAAGAUUUUUGUUGGAUCUUUUUGGCCAACUUUUCUUCUUUGUUUGUAGACUCUAGUAAAGGAGAGUUUGAUGGAGACACCUUUAUAGUUUGUACAUUCCAAAUUGAGUUGUCUCU
rnacentral:lncRNA from 1 species